CUUGGAGAGCCUGAUCUUUUCCUGCUGCUUUUGGUAGAAGUCCCCAGUUUUCGGCUUCGUCUGGAUGCCAUGAUCCUGCAACAAGAGUUUGACCCCGCUGUGACCUCUCUGUGUGUGGCAGCCACAUGUCUGAGGGAGGCGGCCAGAGAACUGCUGAGCUGUCCUGAAUUACACUCCAUCCUUCGUUUGGUGCUGAAAGCAGGGAACUACAUGAACGCUGUGAGCGCUUCAUUAUAAUUUUUUAACUUAAG
rnacentral:lncRNA from 1 species